UCUUCAGACACAGAAGCAUCAGUGAUGGCAACGAAUGUGGUUGUGGUGCAGCAACAACUGCCUCAGGUUCAGCCUGUUGUCAUGGUCAGAUCCGACUCGUGGAGUACAGGGCUUUGUGACUGCUUUGACGACAUGAGUGCCUGCUGCUGUGCAUUUUGGUGUUUCCCUUGUUUUGCCUGCAUGACAACUGGGGACUUCAAUGAAUUUUGUGGACUGCCUUGUUUUGACUUGUUCAGUUGUGUUCCCCUGGCCGCUUUGUCCUUAAGAUAUGGAGUGAGGAAACAGUAUGGCAUACAGGGGAGCCUCUGCUCUGACUGUGUAUCUGUAACCUUCUGCAACCUAUGCUCAUGGUGCCAGGUGGCUCGUGAAAUAAAGAGACGCAAACAGUCCUUCGCAGUGAUCAGCCUUCAACCCACCGUCAUCCAGAGUCCAG